ACGCUGGCGGCGUGCCUAAUACAUGCAAGUCGAACGAAACUUUCUUACACCGAAUGCUUGCAUUCAUCGUAAGAAGUUGAGUGGCGGACGGGUGAGUAACACGUGGGUAACCUGCCUAAAAGAAGGGGAUAACACUUGGAAACAGGUGCUAAUACCGUAUAUCUCUGAGGGUCGCAUGAUCCUUAGAUGAAAGAUGGUUCUGCUAUCGCUUUUAGAUGGACCCGCGGCGUAUUAACUAGUUGGUGGGGUAACGGCCUACCAAGGUGAUGAUACGUAGCCGAACUGAGAGGUUGAUCGGCCACAUUGGGACUGAGACACGGCCCAAACUCCUACGGGAGGCAGCAGUAGGGAAUCUUCCACAAUGGACGCAAGUCUGAUGGAGCAACGCCGCGUGAGUGAAGAAGGUCUUCGGAUCGUAAAACUCUGUUGUUAGAGAAGAACACGAGUGAGAGUAACUGUUCAUUCGAUGACGGUAUCUAACCAGCAAGUCACGGCUAACUACGUGCCAGCAGCCGCGGUAAUACGUAGGUGGCAAGCGUUGUCCGGAUUUAUUGGGCGUAAAGGGAACGCAGGCGGUCUUUUAAGUCUGAUGUGAAAGCCUUCGGCUUAACCGGAGUAGUGCAUUGGAAACUGGAAGACUUGAGUGCAGAAGAGGAGAGUGGAACUCCAUGUGUAGCGGUGAAAUGCGUAGAUAUAUGGAAGAACACCAGUGGCGAAAGCGGCUCUCUGGUCUGUAACUGACGCUGAGGUUCGAAAGCGUGGGUAGCAAACAGGAUUAGAUACCCUGGUAGUCCACGCCGUAAACGAUGAAUGCUAAGGUGUUGGAGGGUUUCCGCCCUUCAGUGCCGCAGCUAACGCAAUAAGCAUUCCGCCUGGGGAGUACGA
rnacentral:rRNA from 2 species